AUUGAACGCUGGCGGCAGGCCUAACACAUGCAAGUCGAGUGGAGCGGGCGACGGGUGAGUAAGGCCUAGGAAUAUGACUGGUAGGGGGGGAUAACGUCAGGAAACGGGCGAUACUACAGCAAACUAUCAGAUGGGGAUAGGUCGGAUUAGCUAUGUGGUGGGGUAAAGGCCUACCAAGGCGACGAUCCGUAAAGGGUCUGAGAGGAUGAUCAGUCACACUGGAACUGAGACACGGUCCAGACUCCUACGGGAUGCAGCAGUGGGGAAUAUUGGACAAUGGGCGAAAGCCUGAUCCAGCCAUGCCGCGUGUGUGAAGAAAGUCUUCGGAUUGUAAAGCACUUUAAGUUGGGAGGCGUUACCAACAGAAUAAGCACCGGCUAACUUCGUGCCAGCAGCCGCGGUAAUUC
rnacentral:rRNA from 1 species